rnacentral:lncRNA from 10 species
GUCUUUUCUGCCCAUGUGACUUACCAGUCAGUAAGCAACCUGAGGACAGGACUCACAGUUUAGACUCAGCAUCAGUGCAUUAGAGCUGGAGAGAGCCUGGGAGAGCCCUUGCUCCAGUGACCCCAAUCCCCUGAUGCCCACUCUUAGGAUUUCAAAUCCCUAUCUGGGAAGUACAGUCUGGAAAAGUUCCCCAAGUGAUUCUGAUAGGCACCUGACCAAAUACCCUUGAUGUGGGCUAGCCAACCCCUUUAUUUUGUAGGAAUCCCCAGGAGGUGAAGUGAUAGGGUCCAGCAGCAUCAGGCAGGUUGGCCCAAAAGCCGGGAUGUGCGCCCAGGUCUAACAUCCAUUCACCCGCUUUGCUGCCUUUCCUUCUGGACUCGCCCCAGGGCAGGGGCUGUGCUGGGACAGGAGGACCUCAACUCCCGCAGAAUGCAGGAGCAGAAGGGGUCUGGGCCGGGCAGUACCUGGGCAGAAUGCUGCAGGAUGGCAAGCAGCCUCUCCUGGAUCCGCCGGAGCAGCUCCAUGCCCGUGCUGAGGCAGUCGGCCCGCAGGAGGCGCAGGGAGGAGGCCAGGUCUCUGCACCGCAGCAGGGUUUCCUCUGCAGAGGGGGCAGGCACAGAGGCUCCCUCCCUUCUCAUUCUCAUCCAUUCCUUCCUCCAACAAACACCUAUGGAACGUCUACCAAGCACCAGGUGCAGCUCUAGACAUUCUCAUGAAGCUCCCUAGGGGAGCAGGGUAAAGACCAGAAACCAAGAAACAUCCACGAACAUCUGCGCCCUUGGGCACCUUACAAUGUAGGCUUUCGACCUGAGCUUUAACAGCCAGGCAGUGAGAAGGCCAUGAAGAAUGAAGAGGAAGAGGAGAGAGGGAAGACAAACCAGCUGAUCAAUGUGGAGGCCCUUUUCCCCAUGGGCUUUGAGAAUACGAACAAGAAGACAGCUCAAGAGAUUCCUCUUCUGUUCCAGGGUUCGGCCUUCAUC